rnacentral:pre_miRNA from 1 species
AGAAGAAUUGCUGUGUCAAAUGGUGGUUAAUUUUCAGAUUUCCAAGGAAUCUCCACACUGCUUUCCAUAUUGGCUGCACCAAUUUGCAGUUCUACCAGCAAU